rnacentral:rRNA from 1 species
CCUACGGGUGGCAGCAGUGAGGAAUAUUGGUCAAUGGCCGCAAGCCUGAACCAGCCAAGUCGCGUGAGGGAUGACGGCCCUAUGGAUUGUAAACUUCUUUUGUCAGGGAGCAAAGGGCGUUACGUGUGGAGCUUUGCGAGUACCUGAAGAAAAAGGAUCGGCUAAUUCCGUGCCAGCAGCCGCGGUAAUACGGAGGGUCCGGGCGUUAUCCGGAUUUAUUGGGUUUAAAGGGUGCGUAGGCCGAAUGUCAAGGUUGCGGUAAAAUUUUCGGGCUCAACCCCGGCCGUGCCGUGGAGACUGGCGUUCUUGAGUGAGCGGGAAGUAGGCGGAAUGCGUGGUGUAGCGGUGAAAUGCAUAGAUAUCACGAAGAACUCCGAUUGCGAAGGCAGCAUACUGGAGCGCAACUGACGCUGAUGCACGAAAGCGUGGGUAUCGAACAGGAUUAGAUACCCCUGUAGUC